rnacentral:lncRNA from 1 species
UUCUGUAUUUUUUGGGUGAGUUAAAAACGCAUUUCUGUGUCAAACUGGUGUGAUUUGUGUCUUUCUGCAGAUGAUCUGGACGAGGCGUUCACAGAGCUGACUCACCUUGUGAAGGUCUACCUGGGCUUGGAGCCACCUGAAAUUCUGGACAACAUCGAAGGCAUCAGGAACAGGGCAGGUUCCAGAUCUCCGCUCUUCCCAGAGGAAAGGUCGGGCAGAGGAACUCCUGCGCGCAUUCGCUCUCCAUCCCUUGGUGAAUUCUUGGAUCCUUUUCCCAAAACCUAUCCCAGAGAUCUUCUGGAUGUGCUGAGCGCGCCGCCAGGCUCCGCGGAAGAAGCCUCUCUCCGAAGACGUUUCUCCACAGCACGUCAGGUGCUUCAUUUCCACAGGUAACCCCAAAUAAUUCCAAUUAAAUCCCUUGCAAUCCACUCCAAAAAAUGCAUUUUUAGGGUUUUUCCCUGUUGUUCUAUAUAAAUAUAUACUGUUUAUAUAUGUAUUAUAU